CUACGGGGUGCUCCAGUGAGGAAUAUUGCACAAUGGGGGGAACCCUGAUGCAGCAACGCCGCGUGGAGGAUGACGCAUUUCGGUGUGUAAACUCCUUUUAUAUGCCAAGAAAAUGACGGUAGCAUAUGAAUAAGCACCGGCUAACUCCGUGCCAGCAGCCGCGGUAAUACGGAGGGUGCAAGCGUUACUCGGAAUCACUGGGCGUAAAGGACGCGUAGGCGGGUUGGAAAGUCAGGUGUGAAAUCCUACAGCUUAACUGUAGAACUGCACUUGAAACUUCUAAUCUAGAGUAUGGGAGGGGGAGAUGGAAUUAGUGGUGUAGGGGUAAAAUCCGUAGAUAUCACUAGGAAUACCUAAAGCGAAGGCGAUCUCCUGGAACAUUACUGACGCUAAGGCGUGAAAGCGUGGGGAGCGAACAGGAUUAGAUACCCGCGUAGUC
rnacentral:rRNA from 1 species